CAUUGUUUCCUGGUUUCAACCCUGAACUACUGAAGUUUAGGAGGAAGUGAUCUGAUAAUCACAAACUGAACAAUCUAAUCACAAACUGAACAAUCUAAUCAUCACGAUCUGAGUUGAAACACAUUUUAGUGUCCAUUUGGUUUGAGGAGGAUAUGAACACACUCAGCAUGUUGCCAGCUUGAGUUCCAAACAAAAAUUAGAUGUAGGCUGAAGGUCCCAUUUUAUGAGAAAGUUGAUCAAAAUCACACCUUUAAUAGAACAUACACCAUCAGAAGGGAGUAAGAAUGAAGAACUGCUUACCAAAAGCUACAAGGUGAGAAUCUACAUUUGAAAAAAUAGGGUUCUAGUUUCCUUCCGUUUUACAGACAUCUAAACACUUGUUUUGACCUCUUGUGGUAUGGUGGAGAGUGGCCAAAAAUAGGGGAUGGUACUUUUUCAGUGAGUCCAUUUUGACUGCAGGUCUGAAAGCAGCUUUUCAAAAUGGCAAGUGAGGUGGUUUAUGCUGAGGUAUCACCCAAGGAAAGAGUACAUUUCACUUCAGAAACUUCAGAUACAGGUGAUCCAAUCACAUAUGCUGAGGUGAAGGUGGAAUGGAGAUCUGACAGACCUGACAGCACAUCCAAAAUUACACAUUCAGUGACCUGCUUGGAGAACUCACACCAGUGUUAUGUUGUUUUCGCUCUGGUCUUCACUGCAGUGAUUCUGCUCAUCACUGUCAUCCUCUUGGCAGUGAAAUGUCCCAGCCUCUCAGGUGGAUGCUGACGUCUUGCUGACACACAGGAUAACUCAGCCCAGGAAGGUUCUGCUUGUUCAAUAGAACAGGACAUAAUGCUUGUUUUCUUUUACAUGAUUUUCUCUGAAGAGACCUGUAUGAAAGAAGACCUGCCAUCAGUCUGAUCACUCUUCAGUUAUGUCAUCCCAGAUCUCUGUUAAACCUCUAACCUCUCCAUAUCUGGGCAAGACAUAUAUUAAUUUUAUUUGGAGUUUUCUUAAACCUGUAAUACCAGCAACCAUUCAAUUAUAUCAAUGCGUGUAGCAAGGCCUGGGUUCAAGCUGCUGCAUCAAAAGUUGUAUUUGGGUCUUGUUUAGACUACAAAAAUGACCCAGUGGACUGCUUGGAGACCUACAUUUAAUUCACAUCUGACUUGAUUCUGCAAUACUUUGCAAUAUAGAUAAGCUUUUAGAUUGCAUUAUGUGCAACUGCAAAAAUUCAUGGACAAAACAGUGAAUGUCAAAGGUUGCACUGAACUUUUAUAUAAAGCCCAGGUUUGGACUUGAUUUUUCUUCCCUUGACAGCCUUCAGUGAGAUUUGUAUGAGGGGAGUAUUGAAGAUGCAAGAAACUAUAUUCAUUUAGUAGAGAGGUCUCAGUCUCAUCCCUUCAUUGGCUUGAAUAAAAUUAUUCUGUUCUACUUGUCCAGAAGAGUGUCUCACAAUAUAUUCAUUCUGUCUUGGGGCAAUAAUUAAUUUUGUAUUCGUUUGGGGUUUUUUUCCCCAAAUGUUGUAGCUUCAGUUAAAACAGAGUCCUCCUCUGGAUGCACCCCGGGUUCAGAUGUAUGUGUUGGUAAUUAUUAUUAUAUUGUCUGGUUUUAUGUUAUUUUCAGUUCUUAUCCAUUAUAACUUCUUUGGGGCAGGCUGAUAUCAAUGAUUUGCAGACCCCAAGCAGGAGGAGGCUGCAUAGCAAAUAUUUCUAUAAUUGUUCCUGUACUUAAGAUGUGUUG